GACGAACGCUGGCGGCGUGCCUAACACAUGCAAGUCGAGCGAGGAACUUGCAACUGAUUCCUUCGGGAUGAAGAUGUAGGUUUCCCUAGCGGCGGACGGGUGAGUAACGCGUGAGAAACCUGCCUUUCACUAGGGGAUAGCCUCGGGAAACCGGGAUUAAUACCCUAUGACACUUAAGGGUCGCAUGGCCUUUAAGUUAAAGCGCUUUAGCGGUGGAAGAUGGUCUCGCGUCCCAUUAGCUAGUUGGUGAGGUAAAGGCUCACCAAGGCGACGAUGGGUAGCCGGCCUGAGAGGGUGACCGGCCACACUGGAACUGAGACACGGUCCAGACUCCUACGGGAGGCAGCAGUGGGGAAUAUUGCACAAUGGAGGAAACUCUGAUGCAGCGACGCCGCGUGAGUGAUGAAGGCCUUCGGGUCGUAAAGCUCUGUCCUAGGGGUACGAUAAUAGACGGUACCCCGUAGGAGGAAGCCCCGGCUAACUACGUGCCAGCAGCCGCGGUAACGGAGUAGUACA
rnacentral:rRNA from 1 species